AGACGCUACGGCGUUGAAGCAGUGUAUGUCAGACUUCCAAGAAAAGCUCGCAAUGUCCGAAAUAAAAUAAUGCCUGUACCAUAACCGACACAGGUGGGUAGGUAGAGUAUACUAAGGGGCGCGAGAUAACUCUCUCUAAGGAACUCGGCAAAAUAACUCCGUAACUUCGGGAGAAGGAGUGCCUUAUUUUAAGGUUGCAAUAACAAGAUCCAAGCAACUGUUUACCAAAAACACAGGUCUCCGCUAAGUCGUAAGACGAUGUAUGGGGGCUGACGCCUGCCCAGUGCCAGAAGGUUAAAGAAGUUGGUUAGCUAUUGCGAAGCUGAUGACUGAAGCCCUGGUGAACGGCGGCCGUAACGAUAACGGUCCUAAGGUAGCGAAAUUCCUUGUCGGGUAAGUUCCGACCCGCACGAAAGGCGUAAUGAUUUGGAUACUGUCUCGGAGAGGGGCUCGGUGAAAUAGACUUGUCUGUGAAGAUGCGGACUACCUGCACCUGGACAGAAAGACCCUAUGAAGCUUUACUGUAACUUGAAAUUGAAAUUGGACUUUAUUUGCGCAGUAUAGGUGGGAGGCGUUUGAAGAUAUUCUUGCGGGAAUGUUGGAGCCAUUAGUGAGAUACCACUCUUGUAAUGUUAGAUUUCUAACUUUGUACCAUAAUCUGGUCAAAGAACAGUUUCAGGCGGGCAGUUUGACUGGGGCGGUCGCCUCCCAAAUGGUAACGGAGGCGUACAAAGGUUUCCUCUGAACGUGUAGAAAUCGUAUCUAGAGUGUAAAGGCAUAAGGAAGCUUGACUGUGAGACCUACAAGUCAAGCAGGGACGAAAGUCGGUCUUAGUGAUCUGACGGUACUGAGUGGAAAGGCCGUCACUCAACGGAUAAAAGUUACUCUAGGAUAACAGGCUGAUCUCCCCCAAGGGUUCACAUCGACGGGGAGGUUUGGCACCUCGAUGUCGGCUCAUCGCAUCCUGGGGCGGUAGUACGUCCCAAGGGUUGGGCUGUUCGCCCAUGAAAGCGGUACGCGAGCUGGGUUCAGAACGUCGUGAGACAGUUCGGUCCAUAUCCGGUGUAGGCGUUAGAAUAUUGAGAGGAGCCUUCUUUAGUACGAGAGGACCGAGAGGGACAUACCUCUGGUUUACCAGUUAUCGUGCCAACGGUAAACGCUGGGUAGCUAUGUAUGGAGAGGAUAACCGCUGAAAGCAUCUAAGUGGGAAGCCCACCUCGAGAUG
rnacentral:rRNA from 1 species